rnacentral:sRNA from 1 species
AUGUACCACGCGCACACCCCGGUUCUGAGCGCGACGUCCGCGCCCACCCUGAGCGCUGCUCGCUAGGUGUUGUUAGCC